UACGAGGGGGGUAAAUGUUGUUCGGAAUCACUGGGCGUAAAGGGAGCGUAGGCGGGUUUUAAGUCAGGUGUUUAAUCCCGGGGCCCAACCCCGGACAGGCACUUGAAACUGGGAAUCUUGAAUAGUGGAGAGGUCAGUGGAAUUGGGGGUGUAGCGGUGGAAUGCGUAGAGAUCCCCAAGAACACCCGUUGCGAAGGCGGCUGACUGGACACAUAUUGACGCUGAGGCUCGAAAGCAUGGGGAGCAAACAGG
rnacentral:rRNA from 1 species